CGGGGUGAGUAACGCGUGGGUAACCUGCCUUGUACUGGGGGACAACAGUUGGAAACGACUGCUAAUACCGCAUAAGCGCACAGCUUCGCAUGAAGCAGUGCGAAAAACUCCGGUGGUACAAGAUGGACCCGCGUCUGAUUAGCUGGUUGGUGAGGUAACGGCCCACCAAGGCGACGAUCAGUAGCCGGCCUGAGAGGGUGAACGGCCACAUUGGGACUGAGACACGGCCCAA
rnacentral:rRNA from 1 species